UGGUGUGAGAUGGACCCGCGUUUGAUUAGCUAGUUGGUGGGGUAACGGCCUACCAAGGCGACGAUCAAUAGCCGACCUGAGAGGGUGACCGGCCACAUUGGGACUGAGACACGGCCCAAACUCCUACGGGAGGCAGCAGUGGGGAAUAUUGCACAAUGGGGGAAACCCUGAUGCAGCGACGCCGCGUGAGCGAUGAAGUAUUUCGGUAUGUAAAGCUCUAUCAGCAGGGAAGAAAAUGACGGUACCUGACUAAGAAGCCCCGGCUAACUACGUGCCAGCAGCCGCGGUAAUACGUAGGCGGCAAGCGUUGUCCGGAAUUAUUGGGCGUAAAGGGAGCGCAGGCGGGAAACUAAGCGGAUCUUAAAAGUGCGGGGCUCAACCCCGUGAUGGGGUCCGAACUGGUUUUCUUGAGUGCAGGAGAGGAAAGCGGAAUUCCCAGUGUAGCGGUGAAAUGCGUAGAUAUUGGGAAGAACACCAGUGGCGAAGGCGGCUUUCUGGACUGUAACUGACGCUGAGGCUCGAAAGCUAGGGUAGCGAACGGGAUUAGAUACCCCGGUAGUCCUAGCCGUAAACGAUGGAUACUAGGUGUGGGAGGUAUCGACCCCUUCCGUGCCGGAGUUAACGCAAUAAGUAUCCCGCCUGGGGAGUACGGCCGCAAGGUUGAAACUCAAAGGAAUUGACGGGGGCCCGCACAAGCGGUGGAGUAUGUGGUUUAAUUCGACGCAACGCGAAGAACCUUACCAAGACUUGACAUUGAUUGAAAGGCCUAGAGAUAGGUCCCUGAACUUCGGUUCACAAGAAAACAGGUGGUGCAUGGCUGUCGUCA
rnacentral:rRNA from 1 species